rnacentral:rRNA from 1 species
GACCGCAGUCGACGAUUCUACGGGAGGCAGCAGCUAAGAAUCUUCCGCAAUGGGCGAAAGCCUGACGGAGCGACGCCGCGUGGACGAAGAAGGCCGGAAGGUUGUAAAGUCCUUUUCCUGGGGGAGAAUAAUGCGGGGAGGGAAUGCCCUGCAGAUGACGUGAACCAGGGAAUAAGCCCCGGCUAAUUACGUGCCAGCAGCCGCGGUAACACGUAAGGGGCGAGCGUUGUUCGGAUUUAUUGGGCGUAAAGGGCGUGUAGGCGGUAGUGCAAGUCUGGUGUGAAAGGCCCCGGCUCAACCGGGGAAGCGCGCUGGAAACUGUGCUGCUAGAGUUUAGGAGGGGAAGCUGGAAUUCCUGGUGUAGGGGUGAAAUCUGUAGAGAUCAGGAAGAACACCGGAGGCGAAGGCGAGCUUCUGGCCAUAGACUGACGCUGAGGCGCGAAAGCGUGGGGAGCAAACAGGAUUAGAUACCCUGGUAGUCCACGCUGUAAACGAUGUGCACUAGGUGUUGGGGGUAUGAACUCUCGGUGCCGGAGCUAACGCGUUAAGUGCACCGCCUGGGGAGUACGCCGGCAACGGUAAAACUCAAAGGAAUUGACGG